rnacentral:tRNA from 1 species
GGGGCCGUAGUCUAGCUUGGUCUAGGACCCCGGGUUUGGGCCCCGGUAACGGGAGUUCAAAUCUCCCCGGCCCCA